UACUGAGAUAUUACACUGUGAUAAUGCUUUUGAUUACUGGGGGAAAGGAACAAUGGUCACUGUCACAACAGCCACUUCAACUGGACCCACUGUGUUUCCUCUGGUACCAUGUGGCACUGAGAGCGGAGAUAUGGUCACUCUUGGCUGCCUUGCCACUGGCUUUAACCCUCCUGUGGUGACUUUUUUGUGGAGAAAAGGCAGCACUCCCUUGACAGACUUCAUCCAGUACCCUGCAGUACAAAAAGGCAAUGUUUAUACUGGAGUCAGUCAAGUCCGAGUGAGGAAACAGGACUGGAAUGCAAGACAGAAUUUUCAAUGUGCUGUGACUCACGCUGCUGGGAAUGGACAGGCUAGUAUCACAAAACCACUGGUGUUUGAGCAGAAUCCAACUCUUAAACUAAUUUCCUCUCCUGAUGAGGACGGUACCUAUACUGCCUCCUGCUUUGCCAAAGAGUUUGCACCCAAGGGACAUGAGAUCAAAUGGCUGCAAAAUGGAGCAGACGUCACCAGCAAUAUAGAUCUGAUCAGUACAGUUUCUGAAUCAAAAAAGGCAAAUGGAAAGAAAGUGUACAACGCAGCAAGUUUUCUCACAGUAAAAUCCAGUGAUGUGAAUGAAGAUACGAAAUUCACUUGUGUAUUUAUGGGAGGCCAAAGUGGAUCUUUGAAUAAAAGUGACAGCACUCUAGAGGUGUUUGAGCAGAAUCCAACUCUUAAAGUGAUUUCCUCUCCUGAUGAGGACGGUACCUAUACUGCCUCCUGCUUUGCCAAAGAGUUUGCACCAAAGAAACAUGAGAUCAAAUGGCUGCAAAAUGGAGCAGACGUCACCAGCAAUAUAGAUCUGAUCAGUACAGUUUCUGAAUCAAAAAAGGCAAAUGGAAAGAAAGUGUACAACGCAGCAAGUUUUCUCACAGUAAAAUCCAGUGAUGUGAAUGAAGAUACGAAAUUCACUUGUGUAUUUAUGGGAGGCCAAAGUGGAUCUUUGAAUAAAAGUGACAGCACUCUAGAGGUGUUUGAGCAGAAUCCAACUCUUAAAGUGAUUUCCUCUCCUGAUGAGGACGGUACCUAUACUGCCUCCUGCUUUGCCAAAGAGUUUGCACCCAAGGGACAUGAGAUCAAAUGGCUGCAAAAUGGAGCAGACGUCACCAGAAAAAUAGAUCUGAUCAGUACAGUUUCUGAAUCAAAAAAGGCAAAUGGAAAGAAAGUGUACAACGCAGCAAGUUUUCUCACAGUAAAAUCCAGUGAUGUGAAUGAAGAUACGAAAUUCACUUGUGUAUUUAUGGGAGGCCAAAGUGGAUCUUUGAAUAAAAGUGACAGCACUCUAGAGGUGUUUGAGCAGAAUCCAACUCUUAAAGUGAUUUCCUCUCCUGAUGAGGACGGUACCUAUACUGCCUCCUGCUUUGCCAAAGAGUUUGCACCAAAGGGACAUGAGAUCAAAUGGCUGCAAAAUGGAGCAGACGUCACCAGCAAUAUAGAUCUGAUCAGUACAGUUUCUGAAUCAAAAAAGGCAAAUGGAAAGAAAGUGUACAACGCAGCAAGUUUUCUCACAGUAAAUUCCAGUGAUGUAAAUGAACGAACUGCAUUUAUGUGUAUUUUUACGGGAGGUCAAAGCACAUCUUUGAAUAAAACUGACAGAGACAACACAGUUGAUAUUUCCACAACUGCCGAUCCGAAAAACAAUGGGACAACAGUGACAGUCCACACCCUCCCACAGCUGCACACUGACCCAUUAAAUGCUAAAGAUGAAAUCACUCUGGUGUGUCUAGUCACCAGUACUGUGAAUAAAAUAUAUAAAAUCGAAUGGACAGAAAGUUAUGGACAAAAUUCUGGACGUUAUCUUAAAGGCACCGACGUCCCUCUACAGCAGAGCAAAAAUGACAAGAAAUGGCGAAGUAUGAGUCUUUACACCACCACCAAGGAAAACUGGUACAAAAACAAUCCAACCAAAAUGUUCACCUGCCAUGUCCAACCUGGAAAUCUUAAAAAAUCAGUGUCCGUCGCCCAUGAUGACUUUUGUGAUCUGAGUUGGGACAAUAUCAUCACUGAAGACGAUUUUAGCAGCCUGUGGUCCACAGCUUCCUCCUUCAUAUUCCUCUUCAUAUUAUCUCUGUUGUACAGCAUAAUUAUCAGCCUUCUUAAGAUAAAGAGAUGAUAACAAAUGGGAUGGAAUGGGUGCACUUCAUUUCUAAUCUGUUUUUAAAAUGUAUUUUUCAUUUUAUUUUUAUGCACAUAAUCAUUUAUUUUUAUUAAAUGGGUGUCAUAUAUAAAUACCCAAUUAAGAGAUGUACAAAAAUGUGAAAAAAAAAGGUAAAUAAAAUGAAACUACAUAUUAAACUGCAUCUUAUGGUCAUUUCACUUCUGUAAAUGCUUCAUUAAAUUAAAGUUAGGUUGAUAAGAUUCAGUAAAUAACAUUUGGCACUUUAAAUAUUAAACAGAAUAUGAAUGUGAGCAUGUAAUAAACAUUGAAAGCAUUUUUGAUGUCACUCUAUCAUUUCUCGAGGUUUCUAAGAAUAACACAACAGCAUUUGAACUCAAUGUACCGUAAACCUCUGUUAUCAGUUAGAGCCUGGAGGUUUUGAGUUUCCUGCUGCACCCAUGGGACCACACCUGCACAACUACAACUGUGCACCAACCAUUACAACUGUGACAUCUGGCAGCUUAUUGUAUUUGCAUCUUCAUAGUUCAUUUGUGUCACAUUUCCAAAUUCCUGUUAUCAAUUAAGGCCUGAUGUUUUUCAGUUUCUAAACAUGUCAUCUUUAGAGAGCUGCUUCUCUGCACGUUUGGGGCCA